rnacentral:rRNA from 1 species
CACCAGAUUGAUUCUGUCUGGUAUGUGUGCUAGCGUCAAAGAUUUAGCCAUGCAUGCUUUUCGAACCCUCGUGGGGAGAGGCGGAUAGCUCAGUAAUACAGUUACAACAUAAGCUGCGUGUGUGGAUAACCUUGUUAAGAUAAGGCUAAGACUUAGCGUGUCGCACUUUUGUGAAGAAAGGCGACUUGAGCAGCAUUGGUUUCUGACCUAUCAGUUAGUAUGUUCUGUAAGGGAGAACAUAGACUAUGACGGGUAACGGGGGAUGCACGUCUGAUACCGGAGAGGAAGCCUUAGAGACAGCUUUCACGUCCAAGGAUGGCAGCAGGCGCGAAACUUACCCAAUUGUUUUUUGUGACAGAGGUAGUUAUGACGUAUUCUUUAGAGAGAGACCUUGUUAGACAUGGUCCAUAGCGACUGGAGGGCAAGUCUGGUGCCAGCAGCCGCGGUAAUUCCAGCUCCAGUAGUGCAUAUACAUGCUGUAGUUAGAAAGUUUGUAGCCUAUUUAUGGAUUGUUUUAGACAAAAGGACGACUCAAAUUGACCUUUCAUUUGACUAAUGCAUGAAUGUAGAAGCGAUUGAAGGCGAUUGUAUUCACCAGCCAGAGGUAAAAUUUGAUGACCUGGUGAGGACACACGGAGGCGAAAGCGAUUGCCUAGAGCGUAUUCAGUGGUCAAGAACGUAAGCCGGAGGAUCAAAGAUGAUUAGAUACCGUUGUAGUUCCGGCCGUAAAUUAUGCCAACUUGUGCUUCUGCUUCUGCGGAGGCGCAUAGAGAAAUCAAGAGUUUAUGGGCUCUAGGGAUAGUAAUCCGGCAACGGACAAACUUAAAGAAAUUGGCGGAAGGACACCACAAGGAGUGGAUUAUGCGGCUUAAUUUGACUCAACGCGGGACAACUCACCAGAGCCUAUGUGCAGGAGACAGUGAGCUUUGAGAGCGGACUGGAUAGUACUUUGAGUGGUGCAUGGCCGUUUGCAACACGUGAGGUGACUUGUCAGGUUUACUCCGGUAACGUGUGAUGUGCUGUAUGCAAGUAUUUUUGUGAGACUGCAGGCGGUAAGCCUGAUGAAGCGGCGCUAUAACAGGUCAGUGAUGCCCUUGGAUGUUCUGGGCUGCACGCGUAAUACAGUGGGUGCUGUAGAUAUAUAUAGGUGGAAAAGGGCCCGAGACUGGGAUCAUGCUUUGUAAGAAGGAUGUGAACGUGGAAUUCCUAGUAAUCGCUGCUCACUAAGUAGCGAUGAAUGAGUCCCUGUUCUUUGCACACACCGCCCGUCGCUAUCUGAGAUGGAUGUUUUUAUGAAGAUGCUGCUGUUAGAGGCAUUUGAGUAAGGACGACUAGAUUAGAUAUAAGUCGUAACAAGGCAGCGGUAGAAGAAUCUGCCGCUAGAUCAUACU